CUCGGUCCCGGGUGGGCCGUCGGGGAACGUGCACCGUCGGCGGGGCGGGCGACCCCCGGGGGCUUGGCCCGGAUCGCCCGGGGAUGAGGGGCCACCGCUUUGCCAGAUCGUUUCACGCCCCCUUCCGACGCUGUUCUAAGAAGCUUCUGGAAAUGCAGGGCGAAAACGGACAGUGAAAUCACAAGACAAAGUAGACGGCCAAACCGCGCUAACAUUCGCAGAGGCGACCUAAGUCGUGACCGCUUUCUGUGACAACUGGUUUCAAAGGUGAUCCGCGCGCAGCGGCAGGGAGAAGAAAACGGAGAAGCGUGACGUGACCCAGGACCCUCCAGAGGCCGACUCACGGCGUCCGGGCCUCCGCCCGCACUUGUGACAGCCCCCCACCGUUCCCUGCAGAGCAGACCCGGUCAGUCAGUUGCGACACCCUGUCUCAGCCCGGAUUUGAACCCCCAACUACAAAACCUGGAUCCCGCUGCUGUCGCCUGGCCGCCCCCUUUCAGAAGCUCAGAAAACUGUAUCCCCAGAGACAGAGGAGGAAUCAUUCCACGGGCACUGUCUGCAGCUUCUCUGACCAACCAAGGGAAAGUGAUUAAGCUGGACCCUUCAGGAGAACAAAAUUCAUCCUGGCCCUGGGGUAAGAGUCUGUCCUCGUUCCAGGGUGGAGAGCCAAACACAGUGAGC